UUUUCAUGAUCUCUAGCAUAAAGAUCAUCAUCUUUCUAUUUUCUUCUUCUUCUCUAAGAGUGUUUUGAGAGAAAAAAAAAUUUUCAAAUGUCAAGAUGCGAUCUCUGCAAGGGAGCUAGUACUUCGGUGAGAUCAAGAAGCUUUUGAUCAGAUCGAAAUCUUGUAUGGAUAUCCAUAGAGGUCGGACGCUUGUGCGGUUUUAAGAGACCUUUGGAAGACAUCUAUGAUCAUCAAUUCAUAGUGUAGAUCGACCCACGCC
rnacentral:lncRNA from 1 species